ACAAUAAGCUAUGAUCUAAAUUCAGGGGGGGAAAUCAGAAUAAAGAGAAAAUAGCAAAGGAUUCAUCAAGGAAAUUUAAUUUAAACUGUCUCAAAGAUUAAUGAAAAUUUAGGUUGAUGUAGAAGAUGUUAUGAUUCAGUAUUUGGGUUUGAUCUCAUAAAGUGGCUUAAAGGGAUAAGAAGUAGAUCUUGGAGCAAAGAGACUUGAAGUAGGAAGUCCAAAAGGGAAGAUGUUGUUCUAUUGCACAUGGGAUAUUGGCUGCUGUCUGCUUCCUUUAUGAAUGAGAGUAUCUAUAGCAACGUCUACAGAGUGUCUAUAGCCUAUUCCUGUCUCACCAUUGAUGACAUGUCCUGAGGUAUGAGGAAUACUCUUCAGAAACUAUGGGCAAGGAGACUCAUCCACAAAGGACCACAUUUGGAUAAUGAAAUUGUGGACUUUGACCUGUUGCCACUGUGGAAUAAUACUUGUGGGUGUUGGAGUAGGAAUUAGUAUAUUUCUCAAAUGGCAGAAACGGGUUAUUUUGGCCAAAGUGUAGAUAAUUGCCUAUCGUAUUCAUCAAGAUAGGUGUAAUAAGAUUUCCCAUGCUACAAGUUCCACUAAUAGUGUGACAUUGACACAUCCUGUUGAACCUAUAGGCACACAUUUUCUCCCUUUGAAUCUGGGUUGGCCAGGGAUUGUGAUUAAAGUACUGAGGCUAUAAGAGGUCAUAAAGGCUGUAUGACUACUGCCUGGUACUCUUGGAGGAAGUAUAGAUGGAGUCAAGCAGCCACAUGUCUAGGUUGCAGCCUCAGCUGAGGACCCAAACAACAUCUAGCAUUGACCACCUCUGAGAUGACUCUAGCCCCAGUCAUCAUCCAACUGCAUCUAUGUGAGAAAUCCAAAGCAGGAACCUUGGGUGAAAUCUGUUCCUGACCCGCUGCCACUGAACCUGUCUGAGAUCCCAGAGUCCCGGUUGGAAACUGAAUAGAUCAGGAGCUUUGGAGACUGGCCCGGCUUCUGCAGGAAAGAAUCACCUGACAGGCCUCUCUGACUUAUGGAGACAACACAUUCCACCUCGAGGAGUCCUGGUCUGGCCCUCGUACCAGGUGAAAUAUAAUUCAGCCAGCUUUGAUGGGGCCCAGAGCAGCAAAGAGCUCUGCACCAGGUGCAGCCUGCCAUGUCAACAGCCCUGUCACUAGGGCCUGUGAAGACGCAGAAGAUUUAACGACAUUAACCACCUGGACAUCACUGACGCUUAGAGACACUCCACCGAAUAUCAGUAAAAUACAUAUUCCUUUCAGAACAUUUGCUAAGAUAGACCACAUUGUGGGCCUCGAGGACUCAGAGAUGACAUUGUUUGUAUUGUGGACAGUAGAACCGUUGACAAAAUCAUUUGCAAGAUGACCAAGAAGAUACUUGUCACAUCCAAACUGAAGAACAAGACGCUUUCUUAGGACCUUAGAAGAUGAACUGUGUGUUGGAAGCAAAAUCACUCUGAAUCUUUGGAGAAAGACAAUCGUAUUAAAAGAGGGAAGAGCUCUUUGUUCUCUCAGAAUCAGCAACAGCAUAUUAAGAACAAAGCACAUUGGACAUAUAAGUAACUCUAGAAGAGAAAGACAUUGAGAGUUAUUAAUUAACCAAGGGUGCAUAUGCAUGAUAUCACCUCACUGAUUGCACUUCUAAGCUUAGGCAGCUGAUGAGUCUGGAUAGUUGAGUGACACAGGAUGUUCACACUGAUGCUGUCCUAUCCUCCAAGGCAAAGGGAAGGUUGAUCCUCAGCAAGGAAGGAGCAGACACAGACAUGACGCCAGUGAUACAUUCUGAGCUCAGGGCCUUCAGUGGCUCAUUUUUCCAAUAUCUUGUUUCUGCUUUUGGGUUGUUCAAGGGUAGGAAGUAAAAUUAUUUACCUCCAAGGAAGUUAAUCACGGUGGUUUUCAUAUUAUUGAGAUAAAGAGAGAAAUUAUUCUAUCAACCAGAGAAUAGAUAAAUAAGAUAGUUUCUAUCAAUGGUAUGAAAUAUCAGGCACACAGUAAAAAGGAUAUUGAAAGGGAGACUAUUCACAGUAUGAUCAUUGUAAAUAAAAUGCUGUGAAAUAUGGA